rnacentral:lncRNA from 1 species
AACUCUAAUCUCAACUUUAAACGACGCCCCCCUGCCCUCUCAUGCCUCUACCCUCCUCCAACUAGCCGGAAAACCGGCGAGUUCACUCAACAAGUCACUGCUGCCCUCCCCCCUUAUCUCUCUCCCUCCACGUCACCAAACCUUAUCAAAAUCUGACAACAAAAUGAUUCCAUCCCUAUUUUCACGCGUUUUUCAUUCGUGUUGCAGCAAAUCCGGAUCAAUUAGAUAAAAGAUCAGUAAAAUGGGGACGGUUGGAUGAUGGAAUUUGAUCCAAAGCCCUCCAUUUCUACUUGUAGGCACUAUAUACAGGGGUUCUUCUUUCAAAAGGGGGGAUUUUCGGACAUAAUUUUUGGGAAAAAAAGAAGAAGAGGAAAACAUGUUCUAGGGUUCUUUGAGUUUUUCAGAUUUUUCAUGUUUGGUUUGCAUUCGAGAUAAAUAAAAAGUCAAAAAUAGUUUGAGUUUGAUUUUUGUUCGAGCUUUGUUUCAUUUAAAAAAAAAUCAGAAAAUCAGCAAAAAAUUCCAGCACUUUUUUCUUGAUUUCUGGUUCUCAAGAGUGAAGUCCAUCAUUGUUGUUGCUUCCAUUCGAGUCUUCCGGCCAAGUUUUUGCUAUUUUAUUCGGAAUUUUGUUAAAUAUACUGCUCGAGACUGAUUCACCGCUCACUUUUGUUCGAUUCAAUUGUCGUAGUUGCUGAAAUCUUAUUACUCAGAAAUUAAUUUCAGGUUCGUUUUGGAUUCGUUUCCUUGUUUUGGUGAUCUCAGUGUGAUGGGAGUUUAGGUUAGAAAGGUUUAGGAAUCUGAAGUUUAAGUUAUUUGCCUAGCAAUAUCUAUAUAUCAUAAUCUAACCACUAAAAUUUGAUUGGCUACCGACUGAUAUCGUAGGCUUAGUUAUGCUAAUCUUUCAAGACUUUCUAAUUUUUGUGUCGUCGGAUUUGUGUGAUUUCAAUCGUGUAUGUCUGGAAUUAUGUUGAUUAACUUUAUGUCAAUGAUUUAUAUGAACCUUUGUCUGUUUGUUUUGGAUAAUUGGAUCAUUUAAAAUCCUCUCCAUGCUCGUCUGCCAGUAGUCAUCAAAAUUGGUAUAUUUAGGGGUGCGUUUUAAAAGAAUUUGUGUGUGCGUUUAAACUUGCAAUAAGCCUUGAGAUUCUUUCUAAUCAAUAUUCAUUUGGUGACGAAUUGGUUCGGCAGCUUAGAUAUUGGUUAAACUUUUAUUUGUUUGGUUUUAACAAGAGGGGUUGCUCUGAUGGUAAGCAACCGCUACUUCCAAUCGAUAGGUUGUGAGUUCGAGUCUCCCCAAGAGCAAGGUGGAGUUUUUGGAGGGAAGUAUGCCGGGGGUCUAUUUGCAAACAGCCUCUCUACUCAAGUGUAGGGGUAAGUUCUGCGUACACACUAUUCUCCCAGACUCCACUAAGUGGGAUUAUACUGGGUGGUUAUUGUUGUUGCUGUAACUUGUAUGGUUGGGGGCUUAACCAACUGCACAUCAUCCGAGCGAGUUGCCAAUAAGCAACAUGUUCAUUUGCUCGUUUCCUAAGUAUUCUGGACUGUAUCUGUUUGUUUGAAUUUGAAAUACAUUUCGCGAAUUUUUCAUGUGGUUUUCGGUCCAUUAGUGAUUUGGUGUUUAUGGAAAAAUUUUUGCGAGCUCGCUUAGUUUCAUGCUUAACCCAUUCAAGUGUAGGAAUUAACACCAUGAAGCUUA